GAUGAGAACGCAGCGAAAUGCGAUAAGUAAUGUGAAUUGCAGAAUUCAGUGAAUCAUCGAAUCUUUGAACGCACAUUGCGCCCGCCAGUAUUCUGGCGGGCAUGCCUGUUCGAGCGUCAUUUCAACCAUCAAGCCCCAGGCUUGUGUUGGGGACCUGCGGCUGCCGCAGGCCCUGAAAACCAGUGGCGGGCUCGCUGUCACACCGGGCGUAGUAGAUUUUAUCUCGCUCAGGGCGUGCUGCGGGUUCCGGCCGUUAAAAAGCCUUUUUUACCCAAGGUUGACCUCGGAUCAGGUAGGAAGACCCGCUGAACUUAAGCAUAUCAAUAAGCGGAGGA
rnacentral:misc_RNA from 1 species